CUUCGCUUGUGUUCUUCAGAAGGCAAAGCCCAAGGUCCAGGCUUCUGUGCCAGAACCUCAUCAAGAUCACAUAGGUUGACACCUUCCCACUCUGGGACAUCGGUACGAACCUCACCUCUGUGGAAGUCUCUUGUCUGCAGCCUGCUCCCUAGCAUUCACUUCCACCUCCACUAAUUUUCUUAAUGGAUAAACAGCCCCAGCUUCAGCUACAAAUGACUGCAUGGAUAUGGUCUGGACAACUACCACAAAGGAAAAAGGAAGGGAAGGAAGGGCCACCUGGCCUCAGGAGAUCAUGCAGCCUCUCUCUGGGCAUGAAAGGAUCAAUCCUUCUCAGUAGAGUUUUCGAAUUCCAAGUGGCCUUGCUUAUGUCAGGCUAGGGUCAAAAGCCCUUGAAUCAAACAAAUCAAGAGGACCUGAGAGGAUCCUGGCGAUGGUCAUCAUGAGCCAGGCAGAUAACCCGCACCCCCCACCGCCCCCGCCGUUUGUGUCUGGUGCAGUGUUGCUGCUGACAGGGCACAUUCACACCUGUAGCUUUAAGGUUCUUAAUUCAAGCCUCCCACUGUCUUUGCUUCCAGACCUCUCACUCCUAAUCUUCCCAAUUUCUCCAUUCCAUACCCACUGUUAGUCUUUGCUCCCUAAAUAUUUCCCCUCAUCCCGAGGCGCUCUUGCUUAGACACUUUCCCCAGCUCUCCUCGGGGUUUGGCUUCCUGCCUUUAAGAUGCACUCUCCUGCCUCCUUCUCCAGGAAGUCCUGCCAGAAUGCUUACUUGACACCCUAUUUUUUUCUCUUUUUGCCAACUUCUUUUCCUGUGUUAUAUAUCGUAUCCUGUGUCACUCACGGUGCCUACAGGAAACAGCUGACAUACUCAAAUUGGGCAAUUUGAGGAGAGUUUUUAAAAAGGUCCAUUUACAAAGGCAACAGCAGGGGCUCCCAAUGGGAUCAAUCCAGACAGCAAGAUAGAGUGUUGGCCACCUCCAUGCAGGGCAGCUUCUCGGACACAGGGCAGGGUGGAGAAAGGUACAGAGUGGAUCCAAGAGCAUUGGCCAGGACGUCCUGUACAUUCUUUGAUUAGAUAGAGCAUUAUCUUCUCGUGGCCAGCCACCAAGCCUUUGUUUUAUCUUUCCUUUCACUGCCUCUUCCGCCCCCACCCCCAUAAAGACUAGGACGCUGCAGAUGUUCCGUAAAAGUGACCAGCUGGGGUUUGGCAGAUGAACAGUCUCCAGACUGAACAACACAGCAUGGGUUCCAUCCAUUCUCCCUCGCCCUGGGCCACAGGUGCUGCUGUUCUGAUCAUUAGAUUUCAGAACACAGAUGGGACCACACACACCAGCAGCCGGGGGGCCUCUGGGUAUUAAAAGAUCCAGCACAGGCACUAGCAAUUUUGUUUCCACCCGGCAAACAGCUGCAUGUUUCAUCAGGAGCAGGCUCUGCUAUUCUCUUUUUCUCUGUUCUCUUUUAUUCACAUGCGUUUUUGACAUACGCAUAUCGUUAGGCUUGGGCUUGGCCCUCUGGAAUAAGAUUUGGAUUUUGGUUUGGGAGGAGGUGGUGGAAUGUCGUAAGCCUUGAACUAUAAACAGUUUGCCAGCAUCUACAUCAAGGAGCUAGGUUUAGCCCAGAUCAUAAUAAAUCGGCUCCAGUUUUCCUUUCUGGGGCACUCACUGCAUUGCACAAUUCCUAGGGAUGUAAAUGGCAUCCCCUAACGUUUUGCCGCACAGUUGGACCACAUCAGAUGGAGGCAUUCCUGAGUUUCUUGCUGUAAUAUCCAGCCUAGCACACAGACAUCUUCCCCGCUUACUGAAUGAACCCGCGGGGCCGCCUGCGCCUCCCGCAUGGGCGGACGCCCCCUGGUGUUCAUAUUUCCCACUGCACCUGUGACCGAAGCCUGUGUUAGCAUGCCGGGAAAGCUUGAGCUUCUGCUUAUGCGGGUCAAUUUGCCAGGACCCCGAAGUAAACCAGGAAAAAUUUUGUCCUCUCUGAAAACUGAGAGUCUUUCCUCAGUUCCAAAAGUUUAGA